GAUGAAGAACGUAGCGAAAUGCGAUACGUAAUGUGAAUUGCAGAAUUCAGUGAAUCAUCGAGUCUUUGAACGCACAUUGCGCCCCCUGGUAUUCCGGGGGGCAUGCCUGUCCGAGCGUCAUUGCUGCCCUCAAGCACGGCUUGUGUUUUGGGCCUCCGUCCUCCUCCCGGGGGACGGGCCCGAAAGGCAGCGGCGGCACCGCGUCCGGUCCUCGAGCGUAUGGGGCUUCGUCACCCGCUCUUGUAGGCCCGGCCGGCGCUUGCCGACACAUCAAUCUUUUUUCCAGGUUGACCUCGGAUCAGGUAGGGAUACCCGCUGAACUUAAGCAUAUCAAUAAGCGGAGGA
rnacentral:misc_RNA from 1 species